rnacentral:rRNA from 1 species
UACGUAGGGUGCAAGCGUUAAUCGGAAUUACUGGGCGUAAAGCGUGCGCAGGCGGUUAUGCAAGACAGAUGUGAAAUCCCCGGGCUCAACCUGGGAAUGGCAUUUGGGACUGCAAGGCUGGAGUACGGCAGAGGAGACUGGAAUUCCUGGUGUAGCAGUGAAAUGCGUAGAGAUCAGGAGGAAUACCGAUGGCGAAGGCAGGUCUCUGGGCUGAUACUGACGCUCAUGCACGAAAGCGUGGGGAGCAAACAGG